CAGCAGUGGGGGAAUUUUGCACAAUGGGCGCAAGCCUGAUGCAGCUGACCGCGUGAGUGAAGAAGGCCUUCGGGUUGUAAAGUACUUUCAGCGGGGAGGAAGGGAGUAAAGUUAAUACCUUUUUCUUAACGUGUACCCGCAGAAGAAGCACCGGCUAACUCCGUG
rnacentral:rRNA from 1 species